rnacentral:rRNA from 1 species
AUGGCACAGAGAUUCAACAAGAUCCAAGCAAUCAAACCCUUCCGGCACCACUGCAUCCACCAAAAACUCCUGAAACACCUCUGCUGCCUUCAAAGCCUCGCCUCCACGGCACAGCCCACCGAUCAAAAUCUGCAUGGAAGCAACCGACAGCCCGGACCCAAGCUGCAGCAUCUCGUGAGCAACCUUAAGGCCUUCCUUGUACCUGCCCUCUCUGAAGAACCCGCGCAUAAGAGUAUUGAAGCUCACACCAGUCGGCGCACAGCUCCGGUGCCGCAUCUCCUCAAACCACCGCAUGGCGGAAUCGACGCCUUCGACACGGCAGGAGCUGUUGAUGAGUAUGUUGAAGGUGUAGGCAUCCGGGACGACGCGGUGGACGCUGGUCAUCUCGCCGUAGAAGCGGAUGGCGUCGUUGUGGCGGUGGAGACGGGCCAGGGCGUGGAGGAUGAUGUUGUAGAACUCGGCGGGGAGGGGCGAGUCCGCGGCACGGCGGAGGGACGCGAGGGCCUCAGACGCCGCGGGGAUGUCGCCGGAGGUGGCGAAGGCGAGGAUGGCCUUGCGGAAGGUCGGGAGGAGGUCGGGGCAGGCGAAGAUGGAGUCGUCGGCGCAGGGGCAGGGGCGGGAGAGGACGAGCUGGAGGAGGCGCCGCAGCGAGGGGAGGCGGCGGGAGGCCGCGAGGCGGAGGAGCGCCUCCGGGGAGGAGGCGUGCGCGGAGGGGAGCGACGGGAGGGGGCUCGGCGGCGAGAGGUGGGAGACGGCGAGCGGGAGGAGCGGCAGGGAGGGGUCGAGGGGGAUGGAGGCGGGCGAGGUGGAGAUUUCGGGGGUCUCCUCCAGGGUUUCGAUCUCCGGCGAGAUGAGGCGCUGGUGCUUGGAGAUGAUGGAGGGGAGCUUCCGCGCCAGGCGGCGGGAGGCGGCCAUCGCCGGCCGCGGGAGGGAAGGGGGAAGGAAUCAGGAGGAGUGUGUGGCCGGGUCAGUGAGAUGGGCUUUAGCCCACGGGCAGAAACGCAUUUGGUACAAGAUCCACUAGCGAAGCCCAGAAUAUAG